CCUCAUAGGUGAUACUUCUAGAGCUCAGUUUCUUCCUUUCAAGCUUCCGUUGAAAGUGACCAGAAGAAUCAAAAUUCAUCUGUGGAGAAACUUAUGGCCACGUGCUUGCGGUUGCCCAUGGCGUCCUCAAUUCCAUGUUCUUCAUCUUCAUCGAUGCAUCUGAAACAUCGUAGCGUUAGCAUUCGUUGUGCAGCCAAUAGCUAUUGCAGUGCAAAAAUUCCCAUGCCUCCUUUAAACCCUAACGACCCAUUUCUAAGUAAGCUUGCCUCUGUUGCUGCAAAUAAUCCAGAUGCACUCUUCUCUCGGCCUCAAAAUUCUGAUACGCCGCCGUUUUUGGACAUUUACGACUCCCCUAAGCUCAUGGCUACUCCUGCUCAGGUGGAGAGAUCAGUAUCAUACAAUGAGCACAGAGCGAGUACACCUCCACCAGACUUACCCUCUAUGUUGCUCCAUGGUAGAAUAGUUUAUAUUGGCAUGCCGUUGGUGUCAGCAGUCACAGAGCUUGUGAUUGCAGAGUUGAUGUACCUACAGUAUAUGGAUCCUAAAGAGCCAAUUUAUCUAUACAUAAAUUCUACUGGGACUACCCGUGAUGAUGGUGAAACAGUUGGUAUGGAAGCAGAAGGUUUUGCAAUUUAUGAUGCCAUGAUGCAACUAAAAAACGAGAUACACACUGUAGCAGUUGGUGCUGCCAUUGGUCAGGCAUGUCUCUUGCUUGCAGCUGGUACUAAGGGCAAAAGGUUUAUGAUGCCACAUUCCAAAGCCAUGAUUCAACAGCCCCGUGCGCCAUCAUCUGGAUUAAUGCAGGCCAGUGAUGUUUUCAUCAGGGCAAAGGAGGUAAUCGUAAACAGAGACACUCUUGUCAAGCUUUUGGCUCAACAUACUGGAAAUUCAGAAGAGACUGUUUCCAAUGUGAUGAGAAGACCAUAUUACAUGGAUGCUAUCAGAGCUAGAGAAUUUGGCGUCAUUGAUAAGAUUCUUUGGCGUGGCCAGGAGCAGGAGCAGAUUAUGGCAGGUGUUGAUGCACCAGAGGUGUGGGACAAGAAUGCAGGCAUCAAAGUUGCUGAUGCUAUUUAGGUUAUUCCAAGAUAUAAUCUGAUGGCCUUGGUGGAUAAAGUUAUGUGGUGCCUGUGCUUGUGGAAUAGUCUAGGUGUGCACAACUAGACACCCACACCAUUUGAAAAUGGGAAUAUUGACGGAAGCGUUUCAACCGUCAAGGGGACUGAAACUCCGGUUCAUUUCACAAGAAAAGAGUGUUACCAAGUGAGAGAAAAAUCUGGUUUGAGCAAGUCUUGAAAUGGACGCACUUGCUGUAGCUCUCCAAGAUUAUACAGUAUCAUUAUGAGAUACUUACUACAUAGCAACCAAGAAUAGGGUUUUUGCUUUGGAUAAAAAGCAUUGUACACAAAUUGUUGUUUUUCUGAAUUUGUGAGUUGCACUAUUAUUAGCUAAUGAACUCUUCUUUUUUUUUCUCUAGAUUCCUCUUCGACAAAUUUUUCUUUUGAUAUAUGUGUUAUUCUUGUCUUGUCAUAACAGCUUUUGUGAGGCAAGAAAUAUGAAUUUAUGCACGUUUUUAUUUUGUA